GGCUCUGUGGUGCAAUGGAUAGUGCAUUGGACUUCUAGGGAGCAUUAGAGAGAGAUUCAAAGGUUGUGGGUUCAGGUCCUGCCAGAGUCA
rnacentral:tRNA from 1 species